rnacentral:rRNA from 1 species
UUUUUGGAGAGUUUGAUUCUGGCUCAGAACGAACGUUGGCGGCGUGGAUAAGGCAUGCAAGUCGAACGAUCUUAUUGCAUCUCAAAGCCGCAAGGCCGAGAGAUUCGAUUUGAUAGUGGCAAAAGGGUGAGUAACACGUGGAUAAUUUACCUUCGAGCGUGGGAUAACAUUCCGAAAGGGGUGCUAAUACCGCAUAAGACCACGAUCCUGCAUGGGAUUGAGGUCAAAGGUGGGGACCGCAAGGCCUAUCACUUGAAGAUGAGUCCGCGUUCUAUCAGCUUGUUGGUAGGGUAACGGCCUACCAAGGCUACGACGGGUAGCUGGUCUGAGAGGAUGGUCAGCCACACUGGGACUGAUACACUGCCCAGACUCCUACGGGAGGCUGCAGUCGAGAAUCUUUCGCAAUGGGCGCAAGCCUGACGAUGCGACGCCGCGU